UACGAAGGGGGCUAGCGUUGCUCGGAAUCACUGGGCGUAAAGCGCACGUAGGCGGAUCUUUAAGUCAGGGGUGAAAUCCUGGAGCUCAACUCCAGAACUGCCUUUGAUACUGGGGAUCUCGAGUCCGGAAGAGGUGAGUGGAACUCCGAGUGUAGAGGUGAAAUUCGUAGAUAUUCGGAAGAACACCAGUGGCGAAGGCGGCUCACUGGUCCGGUACUGACGCUGAGGUGCGAAAGCCAGGGGAGCGAACGGG
rnacentral:rRNA from 1 species